rnacentral:rRNA from 1 species
ACUGGUCAAUCUAGUGGCGAACGGGUGAGUAACACGUGGGUAACCUGCCCAUCAGAGGGGGAUAACAUUCGGAAACGGAUGCUAAAACCGCAUAGGUCUUCGAACCGCAUGGUUUGAAGAGGAAAAGAGGCGCAAGCUUCUGCUGAUGGAUGGACCCGCGGUGCAUUAGCUAGUUGGUGAGGUAACGGCUCACCAAGGCCGUGAUGCAUAGCCGACCUGAGAGGGUGAUCAGCCACAUUGGGACUGAGACACGGCCCAAACUCCUACGGGAGGCAGCAGUAGGGAAUCUUCCGCAAUGGACGCAAGUCUGACGGAGCAACGCCGCGUGAGUGAAGAAGGUUUUCGGAUCGUAAAACUCUGUUGUUAGAGAAGAACAAGUGCUAGAGUAACUGUUAGCGCCUUGACGGUAUCUAACCAGAAAGCCACGGCUAACUACGUGCCAGCAGCCGCGGUAAUACGUAGGUGGCAAGCGUUGUCCGGAUUUAUUGGGCGUAAAGCGAGCGCAGGCGGUUCCUUAAGUCUGAUGUGAAAGCCCCCGGCUCAACCGGGGAGGGUCAUUGGAAACUGGGGAACUUGAGUGCAGAAGAGGAGAGUGGAAUUCCAUGUGUAGCGGUGAAAUGCGUAGAUAUAUGGAGGAACACCAGUGGCGAAGGCGACUCUCUGGUCUGUAACUGACGCUGAGGCUCGAAAGCGUGGGUAGCAAACAGGAUUAGAUACCCUGGUAGUCCACGCCGUANACGAUGAGUGCUAA